rnacentral:rRNA from 1 species
AACGAACGCUGGCGGCAUGCCUAACACAUGCAAGUCGAACGAAGGCUUCGGCCUUAGUGGCGCACGGGUGCGUAACGCGUGGGAAUCUGCCCCUCGGUUCGGAAUAACAGUUAGAAAUGACUGCUAAUACCGGAUGAUGACUUCGGUCCAAAGAUUUAUCGCCGAGGGAUGAGCCCGCGUAAGAUUAGGUAGUUGGUGGGGUAAAGGCCUACCAAGCCGACGAUCUUUAGCUGGUCUGAGAGGAUGAUCAGCCACACUGGGACUGAGACGCGGCCCAGACUCCUACGGGAGGCAGCAGUGGGGAAUAUUGGACAAUGGGCGAAAGCCUGAUCCAGCAAUGCCGCGUGAGUGAUGAAGGCCUUAGGGUUGUAAAGCUCUUUUACCAGGGAUGAUAAUGGCAGUACCUGGAGAAUAAGCUCCGGCUAACUCCGUGCCAGCAGCCGCGGUAA